CUGCUGAUCUUGGGCAAUCCCCAGGCAAGCACCCUGCUCCCUGAGCGGCCCACAGAAGCACGGGGCUCUCAGAGAACGAAGUCUUCCAGGUAACUGAACUGCACGAUAAAAAGCAUUCGAUGACACAGUACGUUGUUAGAGGGGGGGAAAAAAAAACACAUUUAAACAAAUGCAGGUUUUGACUGACACCACCAGGAAAGCAAUGGUGCUUAAACUCACCGAACGCCGUUGACAAAAGCUCUCCGGGGAAGGGGAGCUAUUUGGAGUGCUCUGUACUGCUGUGCCGCGCGGCGUGCAAAGGCGCUCUGUCAUAUAAUAAUUGGUCCUGACCACACCUAGUGCAUUAGUCCUUGUGCGGGCUGCAAAUACAGCCUCACCGCUCCUGGCUCCCGGAUGAGCAGCUCAGAAGGGGAUCAAACUACAGUACAAACCUUCCAGGAGCCAGAAAUUCAGGGGGCAGCUGCAGAACAGAACCAGAGGAACAGGAACUUUACGAAGUAGAACGCAUCAUCUACCCGGAGCACAGCAGAACAAGGCAGCAGCCAGCUCCACACACCCUACCUGCCCCGUGGUGCUGGGAAGAACCAUGCCGGAUUCCUUUGCCAUCCACUUCCUCAAGGUCCUGAGGGAGCUGCUGGCCUUCGUGCUGUUCAGCUACACGGUGCUGGUUGGAGCACUGCUGCUCGCUGGCUGGACGACGUACUUCCUCGUGCUUAAAUGACUGCUCCCCUUCUGCUCCAGCAGCCACAGACUGGCCCAAAGCAUCAGGCUCCACGCUCAGCACACAGGAUGGCCGUCCCUUCCUCCUGCACCGACUCUGCAAGCAUUUUGUUUUGUUACUGCCUAAGCAUAAUCUUAUUUUCUUAUGUAAAAAGGAAAGAUUAAAAAAAAAAAAAGUAUCUAUACACAUGCACCUUUCUGAUCUUUGUGGCUCUUGCCAAUUCUUUUCCUGUCUCCUAGACAUCGUCCCCAUUCCCUGGAAGAUCUGAAAGCCUCCCAGUAGCUUUGCCCUGAGAGCCCCACCCCGCACCCAGCCCACCCCUAGGGAACAGCAGCCUGCAGAGUGUGGUGGAAGGAUGGGAGGGAUGCGACACGAUUUGAGCGUGACCAGCAUCUCAAAUAAACAAGUCUUGCCUUGCCUAGCUCUGCCUCACUGAGGGUGUGAAGGCAGAGAUGGAGAAAUUACUCGUAAUUGCUCUCUAAGUCUUAAAAAAGCCACUUCAAAUCAGUGCAAGGUUUCCCCCCAUUUACAAGGUACACUUCUGUGGGGAGGGGGCACCAACACCACACCAUCCAUAGGGCUAUUAUCAUUUGGCAAUUUUGAGCAUGCAACAUUUCUCAAUAAAUACUUUAGAUACGGGGUCAGCUGAGAGAUGUAACUGGUACAGCAGUGCCCUGCUAAAGCUAAACUGUGACAAGUUUCUCAGAGAACAGCACGAACUUCUGGUAUAUA